CUUGCGCUGCUUCGGCCAAAAUGGUCGAACCAACACCACUGAACAGGGAGCCCUAACGAUCCCUCGGCGGAACGGUAUCCCCCUCGCCGGGGAAGCGCGAAGCCGGGGUGCGGGCACCCACCUGCUGAGGCAGGUUCACCUGCCGGGGCGCGCGAGGCGGAGUUCCU
rnacentral:other from 1 species